GAGGGUAUAGCUCAGUGGUAGAGCACAUGCCUAGCAUGCAUGAGGUCCUGGGUUCAAUCCCCAGAACUGCCA
rnacentral:tRNA from 1 species